rnacentral:lncRNA from 1 species
UAAACUUAAAAAACUCUUCGAUACUCGGUAACAAACCUCAUCGUAUCAGUGCCCUUUUUCCUAAAGAAAUGCAAUAAGACAAAAUGGGGAUCAAUAAACCCAGUUCAAACUCAAUUUACAGUCCACCAGGGGGAGAAUUUUAUGAAUAUUUGGCUAGAACAAGGAUUAUUUGGUUUCAAUUACUCAUAGACUUACAAUCUUAAACAAUUAAUUUACACUAUUUUGAACAAAAAGAAAACAAGAAAAGAAGCUAGGUUGAUUGCUUUGUUCUUGAAUCAAUACCUUCACAAUCCACAAAUAGCAUAGAUCAAAUCCAAUUCUAAUUACCCAAAAGCGUUUCCAGUAAAUCAAAUCAGCAGAUUCAAAGAUAAGAAAACUAAAAAAAAUCAAUUACUCAAAAUUGAAUUAAAACACAUUUCAAUAUCGGCUUCAUAAGAGGAAAAAGAAAAGAAUACCUGAGAGAAAACCAAGCUUGAUUCUUCCUCUUCUUUCUUAGAUUAGGAAAAAGAAGACCCCUAGAAUUUCUAGACGACUUUUUUGAGCCUUUAGGGAUUUGGAUUAAGUUCGGGAAAAUGGUGUCUUGUAUUAUAAAAAAAAUUCAAAAGUUUGUAUGGGCUGAGAGUGGCUGGCCCAAUUCAUAAGAGGUUUUAAUAUGACCUUAGUCCCUGUACUCUUCAGAGUUUUGAACUUUAGUCCCUUUACUUGUUUGAUUUGAAAAUUAAAAUCUUAUUUAUAACACUGGUAAUUAAUUUUCAUUAAAUUUUAAAAAUAAAAAUUUAAAAAUUAAAAGCCAACAUAUAUUCAAUAUAGUAGAAGUUAAUUAAUUGUGUUAGCGAUUGAAUUUUAAAUCUGGAAAAAUAAAGAAAUUAAAUUCUUGAAAAUUAAAGUAAAGUGAUUGGAUUUAAAAAAUCCGAAGAACACAAGGACUAAAUUAAAUACAUCUGUAGUGAUAUAAUCUUGACAAAGUUCAUAAAUCUCAUAAUCUAUUAGGAAUUUUUUUAAAAAUAUAUAAAACCAUAUAAAUUUGUAAUAUAUAGAGAAUCUAUUUGUUUUAAUAAACCUGUUGAAUCAAACAAAUCACACAUUCUCGAUUGAAUCGGUCUUACUUAACCUAAUGAAUUUUUAACACUCAUUUACAAUACAUAAGAAUUAUAUUUUGAUAUAAUUCAUAUGAAACGUUUAUACAUAAUAUAUUGAUUUAAUUCAAUUUUCACAAAUUGUUAAUUUCAACAUUAUGCCUUACAUAUUGCAUAUAUAGAUAAUUAUCCUUCUCAAAUAUAAAAAAAAAUGAAACCAAAAUUCCAUGUUAUACAUUAAACCUCGAAUCAAAUUUUUAUGUGCAUAAUUACAAUAAAUUGAAAUUUACGUAUCAAAUUAUUAUUUGUACGAAAAUUCAUGUAUAUUUUGAAAAUAAAAUAUUGUCAUCAUUGAAUCUAACCUCUGUUUCUUACUCUUUCUUAAUUUUCCAAUACCCUAGUUUAAUAGUAGCCUAGAUUUCAAUAAGUUUAGGUUCGGGUUUUGAUCAAUUCAAAUUUGAGCUCUUUUUUAAAGAUAGUCAUUUGUGUUUAGAUUGUUUUAGUUUCAAAUAGCUUCAAAUUUGGAUAGUUUUAAAUUUGCGUCAAUUCGGAAAGACAACGACGUGUCGAAAUAUAUGCGCUUGAAUCCGACCCAUCAAACAUGCCAUCAUUCCGAUAAGACUUGUUAACGUCCUCAAAAACUUCCGAUAGGUAGCUCUUCUUCGUGUCAAAUGCCACGUCCUUGCAUAUGUUGUUAAAGAAGUGAGCAAUUUAUCCCAUGAAGGUCGCGAACAUCAUUACGUGGUUCGUUAUGUGGUGGUAACAUUGCCCGAAAGCGACGCAAUUGAGGAAGAUAGAGCUCGUGAAAUUGUCGACGGUGAGGAGCAGGACUUGAAGCACGCUGUCCUUGAAUUUAACGUGUAAGAAGCGAUUGCUUUUCCACGACUUGAAUUGAAUCCAGGAUAGGUGAAGCAUUUUGGCCAAUGGGAUCUAUUGAAAGAAUGUCGAUGUUUCUUCUGUCGAACUAGAUCAAUUUUGAAACAUGUAAAUCAUCUUCAAACAUAAGUGAUAAACACUAAGACCUUUUUUGUUUAGGAACUUCAAUUCACUUAUCAUAUUGAGAUAUAUAUUCAUGUUUACCAAAGAUUAAACAACUCAAAAUCCAAAUCCAAAUCCAAAUUAUGCAAUAAUAAUCAUAAAAUAUCAUGUUGAAUCCUUGAGCUUCUUAUCAUUUAGCUUUCAAGAGAAUCCAAAACCAAACUAAAAAACAUAACCCCAAAGGGUAUCUUUUAAGAUCUCCAUUUGGCAUAAAAACCAAACAAUUAUUAGAGCAAACAAACAAGCAAUUUCAUGCUAUAAUGAAACCCAAAAAUGAAAAACAUGUCUUCUAACCAUGAGUGAGAGCUCUCAUUCCUUUUUUCCAAUCCCAUGAGACAUGUUAUAGAUCCCUCGUCCCUGAAAAAAAAAUAACAAGCACACAACAUAAGCUAUGGUUUCAUUGAUCUUUUAUUCGGCAAACAGGAGGUUUUAAAAUUGUUGUAAGAUAGUUUUACAAUUACGAAUGAAACUCACGAUUAAAAACAGGGAACUUGCUGCUAGAGCGGCGGGAAUGGCGACAGAUGUGAUCUUAUCGUAAGGACCUUUCAAGUAAGUGUGUUUAUGGAUGCCUUGAAAAUAUUUCUGAUACUCGAUAAGCUUUUCCCUAGGUCUGAAUGGUACCUCUGACAUCCUGCUGUCACAAAGUUAAACAUUCGGUUAUACAUCGAAUAAGAGAAUAAGAUUUUCCCAAAACUCCCUAAGCCUCAAUCCAACUUAUUCUCUUUCCCCAAAUCAGCACAUUCAAGCAUAGUAUCUAUAUUAAUCUAUUUUAACCAAUAAAACAAUUGAAUUUACAUUAACAAGCAGACAUCCAUAGUACUCGCAUCAACAAAAUACAAGAUAAAACAGCAGCGACCCGUCUUCCCCCCUAUUUUACAAAAGCUACAUUAAACAAGGGCAAACAAUACACUAUAGCAAGGUUUUAAGAACCAGACUGGUGGUCAAACCAGUCAGGACACUGGUUUGCCGGUUCAACCGGUCCGUACCAGUUCCCGGGUCAACUGGUUAAAUACCCUUCUCUGGACCAGUACCCCGGUCAGUCCAGUCUGCUUCAAACAACCUUGCAAUAUAGCCUAAAAGCCCCUACAAAGAAAUGUUUUCAUAUAUGCAUACAUUCUAACUCGAAUAAGCUUAAAAACCUCUUCAAUACUCGGUAACAAACCACAUUGUAUCAGUGCCCUUUUUCCUAAAGAAACGCAAUAAGAACAGACAAAAUGGGGAUCAAUAAACCUAGUUCAAACUCAAUUUACAGUGCACCAGGGGGAGAAUUUUAUGAAUAUUUUGCUAGAACAAGGAUGAUAUGGUUUCAAUUACUCAUGGAUUUACAAUCUUAAAAAAUUAAUUUACACUAUUUUGAACCAAAAAAAAAGAAAAGAAGCUAGGUUGAUUGCUUUGUUCUUGAAUCAAUACAUUCACAAGCCACGAAUACCAUAGACCGAAUCCAAUAAACCCAAUUCUAAUUACCAAAAAGAAACCCAAAAUCAGGGAAAG